rnacentral:rRNA from 1 species
UACGGAGGGUGCAAGCGUUGUUCGGAUUUACUGGGCGUAAAGGGUGUGUAGGCGGCCGCGCAAGUCUGGUGUGAAAUCUUCACCGCUCAACGGGAAGAGGGCACUGGAAACUGCGUGGCUCGAGUAUGGUAGAGGCAAGCGGAAUUCCUGGUGUAGCGGUGGAAUGUGUAGAUAUCAGGAAGAACACCGGUGGCGAAGGCGGCUUGCUGGGCCAUCACUGACGCUGAGACACGAAAGCGUGGGGAGCAAACGGG